AACGGGAGGAGCGUGCGGUUCAAUUGGAUUCAACGCCGGACAACUCACCAGGAGCGACGGUUACAUGAAGGCCAGGCUGAUGACCUUGCCUGAUUUUCCGAGAGGUGGUGCAUGGCCGUCGUCAGUUCGUACCGUAAGGCGUUCUCUUAAGUGAGAUAACGAACGAGACCCUCACCGCUAAUUGCUAGUGUUCUCUCCGGAGGGCACGCACAUUAACGGGACCGCUGUCGCUAAGACAGAGGAAGGAGAGGUCAACGGUAGGUCCGUAUGCCCCGAAUCUCCUGGGCUACACGCGCGCUACAAAGGUUGGGACAAUGGGCUCCGACAUCGAAAGGUGAAGGCAAUCUCGAAACCCAAUCGUAGUUCGGAUUGAGGGUUGUAACUCACCCUCAUGAAGCUGGAUUCCGUAGUAAUCGCUUGUCAACAUCAAGCGGUGAAUAUGCCCCUGCUCCUU
rnacentral:rRNA from 1 species